AGCUUUGCGCAGUGGCAGUAUCGUAGCCAAUGAGGUUUAUCCGAGGCGCGAUUAUUGCUAAUUGAAAACUGAAUCACUAUAUUUUUUCCCAACUUACAGAUACUAACUUACCUAAGUUUUUCCAAGGCAUUUUUCCGUUCAAUGC